GGUAGCAAUAUUUCGCUGAUCGGAACCCGUAGAAUGUUAACAUAGGCUCUCCACCCUCUAUUCCAACUCAAUACGUCCCCGUCGUACAGAAAGGUAGCAUGUCUCUCAAAUAUCCAAGCUCGGGUAUAUGGGGAUACCCAACCCCUUGGAUGAAUGGGUUGCAUGAUUAAGUAAAAAUCC
rnacentral:ribozyme from 1 species